GAUGGCUGCUUCACUCCCGCCUCCCAGAUUCAUGCACAUCUCUUUUUUGGUCAGUCUUAAUAUGGAACCAUACAAGAAAAAAGAUUCUGGAAUAUACUUCUGUUUGGCCAAGAGGGCACAGUUCAAAAGCACAUGCUAGUUCCAUGAGAAGAACACAUCUCUGGUCCCAAGAAGAUGAGAGGCGUGUGGAACAAAGCCACUCCAGUCUAGCUAUCCCAGCUCAGCCCGGCCUAUACCAGCUGACUCCCAGCUGACCUGCAGAUACGUGGGGAGAAAAAAGGAAGAACACCAUGUAACAAGAGACAGAUACUAGAGUGACGUCACUGUAAGCCCAGAAACACCAAGAAUUGUUGGGAACCACCAGAAGCUGGAAGAAGCAAGGAACACACUCUCCCUCAGAACCUGCAGAAGGAACCAGCCCUACCUACACACCUUGAUUUUGGACUUGUAGCCUCCAGAA